AUUUGCAUGGGAAUGAAGUUCAGUGGCCAGCCCACGGAGCAAGCACGGACUUGGGCCUGCGUUCUAGCUACUUCCAACAGCGCACGUGCUCUGGCCUCUUGCUGGAAGGGAUGCAUUACUACUGCAGGAAGUAUUUCCCAACCCCUUGUGAUUCCAGUGCCUCCUCUCCCUUCUCCUAUUUAUCCUGCAUAGAGCUCCUUUACUCUAUUUAUUGAUUCGCUCGCGGCCUCCCCUAUCAGAUUGCAAGAUCCUUCAGAGGAGGGACUGUUUUUGCCUCUUUUUGUAUCCCCCAGUGCCUGGCACAUGCCGUACAUUCCUUUGAUGAGACCCUUUAUGCUGCUGUUCCUGCAUGAUUCUUUGCCUGCAAAGAACUUCAGAUUACUCACACCUUCCUGGCACCUCUCUGUACCCUUUGGAUGAUCCUCCCCUCCAAUUCCCUGGCAAAUUCUUAAUCUCCAGCAAAUAGCAGUUGCCUGUGACAAGCUUGUAUUUUGUCUUCAUGAGCCCAGAUGAUUCCUGAUGAAUUUGGCAUCAGGGAAAAACAAAUGAAAGAGAAUGCCAGGAAAGAGACCUGGCUCCCAAAUUCUCCUUGGGAAUAUGGGCAACACACAACAUGUCAUUGAACAAACAGUGAGCACAUUCAAGAAGGCGUGAAGCUAGAUUUGUACGGGGAACCUCAAAACACAAGACGUUUUCAUUCCGAGCAGUGCCAUCGCAGUCCUGCAGCUGAGACAUUUGGAAAGCAAAUCAGAGACAAGAAUUCAUUUACAAGGCCAGUUAAACAGUGUAUCAAUUCUUCAGCAGUAAAUUAAAAUAUAAAGUAUUGAGCAAUCCUGCCUACAGCCAACAUUCCACACACCAAACAUCUGGCAAACAACGCUAAAGAGGAAAUAGAUGGAGUCCAAUUAUCCCUGUGGAAGCCAGGGGUUACUUCAUGUUUCAAGGUAGGAGAAGAAGGAAAGAGAAAAGUCUAAAACACAGCAAAGCAUUUUAACAAAACUCUUACAGUUCUGAAGCUUAAAAAAUAACUAAAAAUGGACAACAGCAACUUCUCCUUUUCCCCUCAGUCUCGUUCUGCAGAUGUUUGACCAAACUGGAAAAUGAUUGUGUUGGCUUCAACUAAUGGUAGCACAUGCAAAUGUCACUAUACAAUACUAAGACAAGAAACAGGAUUUAGCAGUUUGUUUCAAGACUAAAAUCUUUAACA